rnacentral:rRNA from 1 species
GAUGAACGCUGGCGGCGUGCCUAAUACAUGCAAGUCGAACGGGGAGUAGCAAUACUCUUAGUGGCGAACGGGUGAGUAACGCGUUGGUACCUGCCCCGAAGCGGGGGAUAACGGACCGAAAGGUCCGCUAAUACCCCAUGUGCUCGGUAACGAGUAAAGGUGAAAACCACUUUGGGAGGGGCCUGCGUCCCAUCAGCCAGUUGGUAAGGUAACGGCUUACCAAGGCGAUGACGGGUAGGGGACCUGAGAGGGUGGCCCCCCACAAUGGAACUGAAACACGGUCCAUACACCUACGGGUGGCAGCAGUAGGGAAUAUUGGUAAUGGGCGCAAGCCUGAACCAGCAACGCCGCGUGUGCGAUGACGGCCUUCGGGUUGUAAAGCACUUUUGACUGGGACGAGGAAGGACGGUACCGGUCGAAUCAGCCUCGGCUAACUACGUG